AAUUUUGGACAAUGGGGGAAACCCUGAUCCAGCCAUCCCGCGUGUAUUAUGAAGGCCGUCGGGUUGUAAAGUACUUUUGGCAGAGAAGACAAGGUAUUUCCUACUACGAGAUACUGCUGACGGUAUCUUCAGAAUAAGCACCGGCUAACUACUUGCCAGACGCCGCGGUAAUACGUAGGGUGCAAGCGUUAAUCGGAAUUACUGGGCGUAAAGCGUGUGUAGGCGGUUCGGAAAGAAAGAUGUGGAAUCCCAGGGCUCAACCUUGGAACUGCAUUUUUAACUGCCGAGCUAGAGUAUGUCAGAGGGGGGUAGAAUUCCACGUGUAGCAGUGAAAUGCGUAGAUAUGUGGAGGAAUACCGAUGGCGAAGGCAGCCCCCUGGGAUAAUACUGACGCUCAGACACGAAAGCGUGGGGAGCAAACA
rnacentral:rRNA from 1 species